rnacentral:rRNA from 1 species
UUCGCAAUGCCCGAAAGGGUGACGAAGCGACGCCGCGUGGGUGAGGAAGGCCUUCGGGUUGUAAAGCCCUGUCAGGAGUUAAGAAAUGUAAGUGUGCUAAUAUCGCAUUUACUUGACGAAGGCUCCAAAGGAAGUCACGGCUAACUCUGUGCCAGCAGCCGCGGUAAUACAGAGGUGGCAAGCGUUGUUCGGAAUUAUUGGGCGUAAAGAGCACGUAGGUGGGUUUGUAAGUCAGAUGUGAAAGCCUCCUGUUCAAAGGAAGAACGGCAUCUGAAACUGCGAAUCUUGAGUGUAGGAGGGGAGAGUGGAACUUCUGGUGGAGCGGUGAAAUGCGUAGAUAUCAGAAGGAACGUCGGCGGCGAAAGCGACUCUCUGGCCUAUUACUGACACUGAGUGUGCGAAAGUUAGGGGAGCAAACGGGAUUAGAUACCCCGGUAGUCCUAGCCGUAAACGAUGGGCACUAAGUAGAGGGGUUUU